AAAUGCAGUAAACAACAGGCUGCUUUCUCUCAGAAGAAGUUAUAUGAAGUUGUCAUCCAUUUGACGGAUGUCCAGGGAAAAGGAUCCAUCUCCCACCAGAUCCUGAGGUAGCUGAGCUGUAACGUGUAGUAGCCAGAGGAGGAAGGUCCCUGGAGUGGAAAAUGCAGAAAAGGAAAAAUAAAAGAAGAAAACAAAGUGUUUACAGGGGAGAUUUUGCAGACAGAAGCAAAUUGGGUGCAAGGCCCUGCCUAUGAA
rnacentral:lncRNA from 12 species